rnacentral:rRNA from 1 species
CUUACCAUGCAAGUCGAACGGUGAAGCAGGAGCUUGCUCUUGUGGAUCAGUGGCGAACGGGUGAGUAACACGUGAGCAACCUGCCCCGAACUCUGGGAUAAGCGCUGGAAACGGCGUCUAAUACCGGAUACGCACCAGGAAGGCAUCUUCACUGGUGGGAAAGAUUUAUUGGUUCGGGAUGGGCUCGCGGCCUAUCAGCUUGUUGGUGAGGUAAUGGCUCACCAAGGCGUCGACGGGUAGCCGGCCUGAGAGGGUGACCGGCCACACUGGGACUGAGACACGGCCCAGACUCCUACGGGAGGCAGCAGUGGGGAAUAUUGCACAAUGGGCGCAAGCCUGAUGCAGCAACGCCGCGUGAGGGAUGACGGCCUUCGGGUUGUAAACCUCUUUUAGCAGGGAAGAAGCGAAAGUGACGGUACCUGCAGAAAAAGCGCCGGCUAACUACGUGCCAGCAGCCGCGGUAAUACGUAGGGCGCAAGCGUUAUCCGGAAUUAUUGGGCGUAAAGAGCUCGUAGGCGGUCUGUCGCGUCUGCUGUGAAAACCCGAGGCUCAACCUCGGGCCUGCAGUGGGUACGGGCAGACUAGAGUGCGGUAGGGGAGAUUGGAAUUCCUGGUGUAGCGGUGGAAUGCGCAGAUAUCAGGAGGAACACCGAUGGCGAAGGCAGAUCUCUGGGCCGUAACUGACGCUGAGGAGCGAAAGGGUGGGGAGCAAACAGGCUUAGAUACCCUGGUAGUCCACCCCGUAAACGUUGGGAACUAGUUGUGGGGGCCUUUCCACGGUCUCCGUGACGCAGCUAACGCAUUAAGUUCCCCGCCUGGGGAGUACGGCCGCAAGGCUAAAACUCAAAGGAAUUGACG